rnacentral:rRNA from 1 species
UACGUAGGGUGCAAGCGUUGUCCGGAAUUAUUGGGCGUAAAGAGCUCGUAGGCGGCUUGUCGCGUCGGCUGUGAAAACCUGGGGCUCAACCCCGGGCCUGCAGCCGAUACGGGCAAGCUAGAAUUCGGUAGGGGAGACUGGAAUUCCUGGUGUAGCGGUGAAAUGCGCAGAUAUCAGGAGGAACACCGGUGGCGAAAGGCGACUCACUGGCCCCAUUACUGACGCUGAUGCGCGAAAAGCGUGGGGGGAGCAAAACAGG